GGAUGUAAGGGUAAUCUGCUUGUGACAUCUGCCACCCCAAUGAUCACCAGGGUUGAUUCAGCUGAUCUAUCUGGCUAGACAGGUGUCCCCUUCCUCCCUCACUGCUCCAUGGGCAUCAUUCCUGAGGCUGUGAACUUGGUCAGUGCCUUUCCUGAAAUAGAGGAGGGAUGGUCAAGGGUACACAAGCAGUUAUACUCUCCUACUAGAACUUCCAAAUAAGCACUCAAAAGAACUCACAUACUACCAGGAGAAUUAACCAAAUCCUAUGACAAAGGAUUAGGUUAUUCAUG
ensembl:misc_RNA 7SK 7SK RNA